AAUCAGACUGGAGGAAGUACAGCAAGC
rnacentral:piRNA from 1 species